rnacentral:lncRNA from 1 species
AAGAAGAGCUUCUAAUACUUACUGAGCACUUACGUAAUAGUCACUGUUUUACUGUUUUGUGCAUAUUUACUUAUUUAAUCUUCACAUCAACUCGAGUGGAGUACAAUUAGUUCUCAGUAUUACAUACGUGCAAAUGGAGUCACAGAAGAUGAAUCCCAAGAAUUUCGUUUAAGGGGCAAUUUUUUUUUAAGUUACACAUCAAUAAAUGAUGAACCAAACAUUUCCAUAUGAAGCCAGAUCUACCAAUUACUUUUUACAAAUACCUCCUUCGGAGAGAUCCCUGGGAACAGGAUACUGUUCUGGGAAUUUUUCCUGAUUUUGAAGAAGACAUUAUUCUUUUCUGAGACUCCAAAGCCUCCAAAGAAAGACUCUGCAAACCAUGGUCUUGUUAAUCCUGUGGAGCAGGAGUCAGUUUCUGCGUCAUUGGCGUUAAUGAUGAGUGAUACAUUUGACAAAGAUUAGUCCUGAGCUAACGUCUGUGCCCAUCUUCCUCCACUUUAUACGUGGGACGCCUGCCACAGCAUGGCUUGACAAGCGGUGCUGUGUCCGCAAAUGGUAUGGGAACCAGGAAACCCUGGGCCGCCGAAGUGGAGCAUGUGAAUUUAACUGCUGCACCAUCAGGCCGGCCCCCCUAAUGAUGGUGGCUACGAUCAUGAGGAGGAUGAUUAUGAUGAUGAGAUUUAUCAUCAAAAUCAUUAUUGAUCACCUAUUAUGUACCAAGCACCAUGCCAGGUGUUCCCUGUUUUGUGUAGUCAGCAUGUGAUUCUCUACACACCUGUGUACAUUUCAAAUCCAGGGUGACCCAGGUUAAUGCCACCUCUGUCAGUGGGAAAACCAGCACUAAGCUUUGCAGCCACCAUAAGCAAUAAUUCCUAGUAGCUAUCACCCGAGGGUGUAAUUUUCACUAGGGAUUUUUGGAAGAGAGGCAAAAAAGCUAUGAAAAUACCCC